rnacentral:lncRNA from 1 species
UGAACAUUAUAGGUCCCCAGGGGAGCUGUCCAUUCCAAAGGGCUUUAGGAUGAAGUCCUUCACAGAUUCACCCCUCAUGUUGCAUUGUUUCAGAGCUCAUUUCUAUGUCGCAGGUUGCAAUAGACCUCAACCUGGCUUGCAUGUUGAGAACUGGAAAAAAAUUAAUUUGCUUGGUUCUUGUUCCCAGAGAUUCUGGUUAACUUUGGAAUCAGGGGUUUUAAAAGCUGUACAUACUGCUCCAGAGCAAGAGUUUUCUGAGGAAAGUAAGUCACAAAUAAACCCCAUCUUACCGUAUCUUCUGUAACAGUUGGGAAUCUUGAAGGAUGUCUGUUGUUGUGUUGGUUGUAAAAACACAUGUGUCUGGGGCUGGAGUUGUAGCUCAUUGGUGGAGCACUUGCCUCACAUGUGUGAGGCACUGGGUUGAUCCUCAGCACCACAUAAAAAUAAAUAAAUAAAAGUAUUGUGUCCAUCGACAAUUAAAAUAUAUAUUUUAAGUGUCAUGAACUUCCUGAUGAGGUUGUAUUAGGAAGAGUGUUUCAGGCUAGGUCCGGAGUAAUGAAGGUGGGUAUGUACAAGUUAUCAUUGUUCAGUACCUGCUGUAGUUUGAAUCUUGAAUGUCUUCCAAAGGCCCAAGAGGGCCUGGUUCCCAGCCUGUGAUAUUACUGGGAGAUAGAGCCUAAUGCAAGGAAGUUAGAUCAUAGAGGGAUGCCCUUGAAAGGGCAUGACAGACUUAAAGACAAUAGGGCCAAGCAGCCAUCAACAAAAGUAAAUUUUUCCUCUUUAUAAGUUGAUUAUCUUAGGUAUUUUGUUACAGUAACAGAAAGCUAAGAAUACUUAUUGAGCACCUACCAGGCCUGAACACCUAAAUAUGUGAAGGACCUAAUUACUGCCUUCAAAGAGCCCAGAGCCCUGCUGUCUAGAGAUCAUGGUAAAGUUGGUGUGCAUUUUUUUUAAUAACCAACCGUACUUUGAUUGAGGCACCUAUGUGGAAGGCACUAUGCAAAACAGUGCAUGACAAAUCUCAGAUAAAUAAGAUCCUGUCUCCAUUCAUUGUACAGGGCAGCACAAGCAUCCAACUGUAGUUAAGGUAGAGUAUGAGAAAUGCCAGAAGAGAGGCCUGAUAAAGCACCUUGAAAAUUCAGAGAGAAUGUGCAGUGUGUGUGGUGGAAGGAUGGUAUCAGGGAAAGCUUUGUCCUUUUUUUGUAUGUUCUGUGCAAUCCACUCAGUAUUGCUAUACCUCAGGCACUGUGCCAGGUACUAGGGCAUAAUGAACCCAACCAUUAAGGGUCCUCCAGUCAAGUGGAAUAGAACAACAAUAAACAGUACAAUAUUUCUUUAAUUUUAAGUACCUUUGAUUAUGAGUUGUAUCCUCAUAUUGUAGAUGUCAAAAUUUGGAAAAGAUGUAUUUUAGGAUUAAUGAAAUAAAGUAGUAAUAAUCCAGAGUGGUAAUAGAAAAUCACUGUCCUAAAAGCUUGCAUGCACCAAGUUUUGCAUAUUUAAUAAAAAGGCAAUGAUAUGCAGUGAAAGUAGCUUGCACUAAGUAGGCUUUUAGAAAACAUGAUGAAUAAAUAAGAAAAUGGAUGAAUCCUAACCCUCCGUCUUCUACCAUUAGACCAUCUGGAGAAGACAGUUCCUUAUCUAAAAACUUAGAUCCUUACAAAUGGUAACUUCAAAACUUUAAUGUUGUCUAGGAAGCCAUCAGAGACUAUAUCUCUGUAAAGGACUCAUUAUGUAUUUCUAACAAGUCCAAAAGAAGUAGGAUUUUAAAAGAGAUAUAUGUGGGGUGGG